rnacentral:lncRNA from 11 species
ACAACAGGACUUUCCCUACCUGUGACACCAAUGAAUAGUCCUAAAAAGCCGCGAGAAUCCUCGAAUGCUAAACCUCCGACAAGGCUUAACUUAUUACCAGGUCUUUAUGCUGUGAAAAAUAAAUUCACAGAGGUUAAGCCUGAUUUAAAUGAUCAGGGCACAGACAGGAUCGAUUUGAAAAAGCUUUUCCCUGAAAUGCCGAGAAUGUAUCAUGCUGAUGCUACUGCUGUUCUUGAAGAGGCGGAUGAAGAGAUGCUUUGUAAAACAGACUAUAAGGAUAUUGAGAGAACGGGAGAAGAACCAACCUCAGGCAGAUGCGUCCAUCGGUCACUCCUAGAGGAGCUGUUGAAGGAUGGAGCGGCGGAAAAGGAAGUCAUGGCUGUUGAUGAAAACACAACUGAUGGUUUCGAGAAUAUUACGGGCUGUAUCCAGUUUUCUGGUGAUGUGGAGGAUCUUCAGAUUGGCGACUCUCAGACCAUGGAGCUUUUCAGCAUGCCGCGUGUUUAAAGCCUGUUCUGCAGAGCAGAGCUGCUAUGUGUGUCUCACAAUAAAAUUGGU